rnacentral:lncRNA from 1 species
CCCCCACCCCCACAAAUUUCUGCUUUGCUUUCCUGUAUUUUUAAGUUGUUGGAAAAGAAAAUGAGAUGUACAUUGUCUUCAAUCGGCACCUUUAUGAGGAAGAAAAUGUUGUUUUUAACAUCCCUCUAUUAAAUGAAGUCUGCGGUUAGCAUUUUCACUUUUCUGGAAACUGAAUCUCGUACUUUUUGGUUCUCUUCAUUUUUUCUUGUAUUGUUCAGGCAUGAUAAUUUACUUGGAUUUUAGUACAAUAGCCAACUGUCCAAUUCUAUCCACAGGGGUGCUCUCAUAUCUUGUCUGUUACUGACUGAUGUUCGAAAGAUAUUCCUGGUCCAUUUAUUAAACCUUCCGCUUUGAUUUCCAAUUUUGGUAAUUUUGAAUAAAAAGAAUCAUAAAUUUGUCAUCUACUAUAUAUCUUUAGCUAAUAUGAGUAUAUUUUUAGAGAAAUUUUUAACCUAAAGGGAAUAUUAAUUAUUAUCAUGGCGAGGUUUCUGUUCUAGUCAAGUUUAGGGUUGCUUUUUUCUUGUUUCCCUCUUGGCCAAGUAAAAGAAACAAGUUAAUGGUUGUUGACAUGUAACAUGAAAUAAAAAAACUAAUGUAAAAAUUUGUUUUGUAAUGCUUGGGUUAGUUGAAUAGGAUUUAAUUUAACAAAAUUUGAUCCUGGAGAGCAACAACUUCAAGUUGCGAAGUUAAAAGGUUAAAAUAGCAAUUCCUAGUCUUAACCGAGAAUAAAAAGUGACCAACUAUUCUAAGAUGCUACCAAACCCUAAUAAGAUUAGAUGGCCUUUAGUGGGAGCUAACUAUUUCAUAACUUCCCUUUCAUAGUUUCAUAUAUAUAUGUGCGUGUGUUUCUAAAUAGAUACUAUGUUUACAUAUAUGGAUCCCUACGUAAGAUUAGGAAUAUGCAUAGUAAUAGGACCUGCUUUUUACUUAUCUCUCGAAAUUCCAUCACCCUAUUCGUCUAAUCCUUCUUGAACCACCCUAUUCUCAGAUUAUCGUAUUCUUUCUUUCCUUUCACAGUGUCAGACGUUGUAGUUUCUAUCUAACCUAAUGUGUGUUAACGAGCUCAAUAGUAACUUAAUUAAGCAUAUAUGUUAGCUAGAGUUGUGUUUGUGUGUGUGUGUGUAUAUAUAUAAUGAUUUGGAAAUUUCAGAUAAUUUCCACAAAAAUGUGAUGUAAUUAUCUAUCUAUUUUUGCUUAGUUCUGGUGGUUUGAUCUAUUAUUUCAACUGUAACUGUCAUUUUCUUCCAUCAUUUCUGCCUUUACAGCUUGAUGGAGGGGGGUUGUAAAGUGAAAACCCUGAUUCACGGAUAGCCUCCUUCCACCACCAAGGGUAGUGGGUAGGAGUGAGCUACAUUUCUCUUGGCAUGAUAAUGAUUAGUGUGAGCCAAUGGAUUCAGGUAGUUGGCCUAUUUCUGUCAAUAUCCUUGGCUGUGACAACUUUUAGAGACUGACAAUUUGAACCGCAGAACUGUUAAGAUGAUGAUAUGCAAAGGCAUGACCUCUCUGCAAUGGCAAAUCCUGCUAGUGGUUUGAGUACAGUUCCUUCAACAUUGACAAAGUCACAUGAAGCCCAUGUUAUCAGUUAUGUUACAAAAAACUAGUUCCAUUAGGCAUUUUGUAUUUUUCAAUUUAUUAGUUUAUUGGUUAUGUUCUGUUUCAUUAAGCUCCGAGAAUGACAUACUCCUAUUUUGUUAGGUUGAUCUGGCCGAGUCAGGUGCCAGCUCGAGUGUAUCACCUACUUAUUCAGAUAAUAAUAAUCUGGAAUCUGUUGUACAUAAUUUGAGUAUCUCAGUGCUGGCAGGCCUUGUAUCUUUUUGUUUCUUCUUUCCAUUUAUAUAAUGAAAAGUAAUGUACUACUACUAUUAUUAUUCUACAAGGAAUAAUGCUAGAGACAAACUAUUCUACAAACAUUUUACAAACUGCUGAUGUGGCAUAUUCCAUAUCAGCAUAUUGUGUGGGGUCGGAG